UAAGCUAAGGGCAAUAAUAAAAAAGUAUAGGUUUAUUAUGGCAGCAUAAAACCAUUAAUAGGAUCUGGCACUCUUCAUCUAUGAUGGUCUCUGUGUAGCUAGGACCCUGAACUGCCUCCUCACUGAAGCUGAGAACGAAAGGAAAAAGAAACAAGUGAUAUCACCGGGAAAAGAUCAUUUAUCCAGUUGCUUAAGCUUCUUCCUAGACUUCUGGAUGUGGACACUGCUGGAGGCAGAAUUAAGGCUAGAGGGACCCUUGGAGGCUGGUCACUUUAUAGUCUGCAAACCUGGCUGAAACCUUGCAUAACAAUCAGGAUGGAACUGAGGCUGAUAAGCUUCAUCUGAAAAAAGCUUCACUUCUGUAAAGAAGCUGCAGAAAGUGUUUUACACAGUCUGUAUUGCUUUCAUUUAAUGAGCUAAAUAAAGGUUUCAUAGAUUUGA